UGCUCAGGGAGAGAGUUGAAAUGGUUGGCA
rnacentral:piRNA from 1 species